CUACAAUGGAUAAGGCUGUUUCUUCCUCCGCCUGUAGAGAGCAAGAGAAAAUCUCCAAGCUCUGAAGAGUGCAUGAGAGUAACUUGUCCUGAGCUUUUGGCCGGAACAAUGGUUUAGUGGUUAAGGUGUUGGCCGCUCAACCUGAGGUUUGUGGGUUCAAGCUCCACUAAGGACAUGACUACAUCACCAGUACUGGUUUUACAAGGAAGCAGGCUCAAGAGUGGUUAAAAUAAAUUUGAAGCUUUCAUCACAAUCCUGGUGUAACAAAUUAGUAUAAACUAAAGACAUAACUGAAGGCAAACUGACAUGUUGUGCAAACACUACACUGGCUCCAAACCUUGAUGCUGCUUGUUUGAAUAUAAUUCACAGCUUUGUUUUCAACAAAUUCAAUACCUAGACACUGACCUGUUCACCAAGAGGACCGGCUCUCUUGGUAAUAAUACCACCAGAAGUCAUCAGGGGACUGGUAGUGCGUGAGCCCUUACUGGACGAUGAUAGUGUUGGCGACUGAACUUCUUCAGAACUUUCAUCUGCUCUACCCUGAUCUGUGGAACAUGAUGCAAAAAUUAAGAUAUAACCAAGCAUUAUCAAUCUACUUGUACAAAAAAUAUAAAGCCUUAUGAUGAUCAAGUUCUUCCCCACCGACAUAAUUUCUGGCACAACUGGUCACCAGGGCGGAGCAGCUAGCAAGAUGAAAAGCUUUCCCAUGUGGAAUGAUUUAACUACCAAAGCAGUGAUCCGAAAAUGAGUGGCAUGUGUUCCUGAGCAUGUGUGGGUACCUGAGUAGAGCAAUCAACAUUCUGUGAGCCAACUGGAUGAUUACCUCACACGAAAGAAAUCAACAACCUAAAUGAGGUUUCAAACUCACAUCAGUGAGGGACAAAAGAAAUCAGUGACUUAAACCAGUCUGUCACACAGGUCCCUCUGUCUGGUUUUAAGUUACAUAACACAGUUAUUGGUAAAUGGGAACUUUUCAGCUUAAAUGCUGAAAGAAGACCAAAGGUACCUUCCUAGGCAUUAGAUGAUUCAAACUCAGUGAAGUUAACUAUGCAGCCCAUGGAAACUCCAAACUGAGAAAGGGAUCAAGAAGUCUAUUUAAUUUUAAUACUGUUUGAAAGUCAAUGUACAUGGAAAAGUUACAGAAAAGCCCUUUUCAAAUUUAAAAAUACAAAACUUCAACAUUUCAGCAGAUAGGCAAUACAGUGAACUAUAACAAAAAGUAUUAAGUAUUGUUCAUUUAACAUAUAGUCAAACUUCAACAAGCAGAAAAUAAUAUGAACUCCCAUACCUGACAGAGAAGU